AGUCGAACGGCAGCACGGGGGCAACCCUGGUGGCGAGUGGCGAACGGGUGAGUAAUAUAUCGGAACAUGUCCGGAAGUGGGGGAUAACGUAGCGAAAGUUACGCUAAUACCGCAUAUGCCCUGAGGGGGAAAGGGGGGGAUCGCAAGACCUCUCGCUUUCGGAGUGGCCGAUACCGGAUUAGCUAGUAGGUGAGGUAAAGGCUCACCUAGGCGACGAUCCGUAGCUGGUCUGAGAGGACGACCAGCCACACUGGAACUGAGACACGGUCCAGACUCCUACGGGAGGCAGCAGUGGGGAAUUUUGGACAAUGGGCGCAAGCCUGAUCCAGCCAUGCCGCGUGAGUGAAGAAGGCCUUCGGGUUGUAAAGCUCUUUCAGCCGGAAAGAAAUUGCUUCUAUUAAUACUAGGAGUAGAUGACGGUACCGGAAGAAGAAGCACCGGCUAACUACGUGCCAGCAGCCGCGGUAAUACGUAGGGUGCGAGCGUUAAUCGGAAUUACUGGGCGUAAAGCGUGCGCAGGCGGUUCUGUAAGACAGAUGUGAAAUCCCCGGGCUUAACCUGGGAACUGCAUUUGUGACUGCAAGACUAGAGUGUAGCAGAGGGGGGUAGAAUUCCACGUGUAGCAGUGAAAAUGCGUAGAUAUGUGGAGGAAUACCAAUGGCGAACGCAGCCCCCUGGGUUAACACUGACGCUCAUGCACGAAAGCGUGGGGAGCAAACAGGAUUAGAUACCCUGGCUAGUCCACGCCCUAAACGAUGUCAACUAAGGUGUUGGGGGAAGGGAGACUUUCUUUAUUACCGGCAGCUAACCGCGUGAAGGUGGACCGGCUUGGG
rnacentral:rRNA from 1 species